GGAGUUGAUUUUAUUUUUAAUGCAGCAUGUUGAGAAUGCAAAUAUGAGUUUCCUCUGCCUGGAACAGUUAUGAUGGGGGCCCUGGAGGUCUGAACAGGUUAGAAGAAAACACACACAAGAAUGAAUGAAAAGCAGUAUUAACUUCUGCCAAAAUGCUCCAUGGAAACUCACGGAGCUCAGAAGCCCACAACAGUGCCUACCAGGUCAAAAGUGCUGUUUUCUCAACUGUCGCAACUCCACCUAGACAGCAUCCUGGCCUUUAUCCACAAACUGCCCCGAAGAAGCUCCCUUCCUUAGGGGGCAUCCAGGACCUUCCUUCGUUCCAUCAGCCGCUGCUGGCUUUCUGAAGCUUGUGCCUGAUGGAUACAAAUGGGUCUUCUCUGAACAGCGGGCACGUGU